GACGGGGGGGGGCAAGUGUUCUUCGGAAUGACUGGGCGUAAAGGGCACGUAGGCGGUGAAUCGGGUUGAAAGUGAAAGUCGCCAAAAAGUGGCGGAAUGCUCUCGAAACCAAUUCACUUGAGUGAGACAGAGGAGAGUGGAAUUUCGUGUGUAGGGGUGAAAUCCGUAAAUAUACGAAGGAACGCCAAAAGCGAAGGCAGCUCUCUGGGUCCCUACCGACGCUGGGGUGCGAAAGCAUGGGGGAGCGAACAGG
rnacentral:rRNA from 1 species